rnacentral:precursor_RNA from 12 species
ACAAGAUGGUUGAAAAUUGUUGGGACUGUGUGAAAGACAUGGGUAGUGAGAUGUUGGUUGUAUCUUGCAUCUCACUACCUUGUCUUUCAUGUGGUCCUAACGAGUUCUACAGUUGUCACCG